UUUUGAAAAUUCUUUCCCUAAAGGUAUCGAUGGAUUGUCAGACUCCUUGAUAUUUACACUAAUCAUAACUCCUACAUGAUUAAUAAACAAGUAAAAAAUGUUGAAGAUCAGGCAGGUGAACUGCUGGAGUGAUCACUGUUAGAGUUUCUGAGUUUCUGUUCUUUUCCAGGAUAAGAUUUGGUUCCUAAUGGUUGGGCGUGGGCUCUGAAACCUGGAGAAUCAGAAAGGGAAUAGAACCUGUGAUUUAGAUUGCUGAGCCACACUUAAAUGGCUGUCAGCUGAGAUUCAGGAAUGGCAGAGGCUGAUUCAGCUGGAGUCAUACAGCAGCUACUAUUAAUAACAAGACGAGCAGAGUAGGGAGAGAACUCAAUGAAUCGAACAAGAGGGGACAAUGGGAGCUCAGGAGGGUAAACCCGAUUACCCAGUUACUACUGUGUCUUGUGUCCAUCUGGAAAUAGGCCUUGUCUCUUCCCUACCAGCUGAAUUCUCAGCUGAAAAUGCAAAGGUCAAACACUUAGAGAAGCCUGUUUUAAUGGGGGUGGAUAUUAUUUCUGCCUCAGCCAUUUUCAGCUGGAAACCACAAGAUGGCAAUGUUGCAUCAUUCCUUGCAAGACCUUUGCCCAUGGCUGUCCUGACUCCAGGUGAAUUCAAUCGCUAAGCAAUAAAUUGGGAGAUGCAGGAUCUUGUUGGUUUAACCAGCUAACAUUAUACUUGUAUUUGGUACUACUGAUUGUGUUUUCCUUGAUAAAAUGUAGCAUACUCCAGGAAAAGUAAUACAUUUUCACCCCUUGUUAGAACACUCAUGUAAUUCAAGCAAAUAACACAAACAUAGUCUGAAUUUCAGUCUUCUAGACCCGGUUUUCCCCAACAUCAGACUAAUUAGUUUUAUUCCAUCUAGCCAACACCUGCUUGAGAAGAACAUUUAGUGUCAUAAAACAAACCACCCACCAAGAAAUAAGGAAACUGAGAAAAGCCCACACACCAAUGUCAUGUUGCCAAGCUCAGCUCUAAAACAAAGCCUUACAACACACCCUGGUGGAUUCUCUUGGAGGAAACUCCAUUUUCUAAUCCUGCCCCUGGAAAUGCUGGACAGCUGAAGCCACGAUGACAAAGGAGAAGAUUAGAGGCAACUGAGACCUAACCAAGUCACGGACCUGGAAGAUGAAAAGAUGGUGGUGUAACAUGGCUAGUACUUUGAAAACUUUGAAGAGCCCUUAGUGAUGCUGUUUGCAGCCCUUCAGUCCUACUCGACACCUCCAAAGGAAAUGGGAGAUGAAAAAGAUAUGGCUUUCUAACAAGGAGAAGACUGAGCUCCAAACAAGUCAUAUUCCUAGAGACAGGUACCUGGGCAAGGUCAUUGUGUGAAAUGAUGAAAUGCAUCUUCAUAAAAAAGUGCAAGAACUUGAACUUGAGAAGAAAAAUAUAAAAGGAAAAAUAUUCUAGAGUCAGAUGUGGAAAUCACCAUGUCAGAUUAUGAAGCUGGAAUUUAUUCUUUGAAAAAUAGAAGAAAACAAGAUAAAACUAUGAAGAAUGCAUUGCUGCUGCUUUAACAAUACUCAGAGAUCUACCAUGUGAAGACGUGUUUGCUUCCCCUUCUGCCAUGAUUGUAAGUUUCCUGAGGCCUCCCCAGACCUGCAGAACUUGUAUUUUAAGGCAGAAGAUGAACCAGGUAUCACAUUAUUCCAUAUCCACAAGCCACAAGUUUUUAAAAUUUGAACUAAAUACCUGCCAAUUAUGGAUUAAUCACUUUAACCUUCACAGCAUUAUUUUUCUUUUGAAGAAAGAAAAACUUAAAAAAGGACUCCAGUGAUCCUAAGGUUGUUGAAUUCAAUGGAAACCUUUCAGUAGCACUCGAUACAGCAGAUCUCCAUUCUUCUCUUCAUUGUCAGGAUAUCAGCCAGUCUGUUUUUUCCUCUUGCUGUCUGUUAUGGCUCAUUAUCAUGCCCCUUGCUGGAUACUCCUCCAGUAGAUUUCUAAAUGCUGGAAGUAUUGAAAAUGAAUGAAUAAAUAAAUAAAUAUUUUUUGAAAAUUAAAAGAAAAUGUGGUAAGCAUUGAAAUAGAUACAAAAAUGAACCUGAAAUGGUUGCUGACUUCAAGCCUACUUUAAUAUAGAGCAAAAAGUGAUGUGGGUAUUAAUAACCGUAAAAUGAAGAGUCAAUAACCCACACAGCCUUCCCAUCUUCCUUCUACUCUCAGGUCUCUUCAAGUCUAUUCUGCACACAACAGCCAGCAAGGCAUUAAGGCACUAAAAAGAUAAUGUCUUACCGUAUUGGGACCCCUCCAGUGGCUUACCACCUCAGCGAGAGUAAAACUUAACUCUCUAAUAGAACCUCCAGGGUCCUCUGUAAUGUGACUUCUGGCUGCUUUUCCAAUCUCAUUUUGGACCAUUCUUUCCUCUUCAGCUGCACUGGGUCCUUGCUGUUCCUUAAACACUCCAGCUAUAGUCCUACCUCAGCCUCUACUGCAUUUCUCUCAGGUUUCCCCAGGGCAAUGCUUUCUCUUCUUUGAAGUCUCCACAUCAUCCUUGGAAGGAGAUUGUGUGGGCAAGAAAUAAUCACAUUGUCUUGUGCUCCAGAAGCUCGACCUUGUUCUGAAUGGAGUCAGUUUAAAGUAAACAUCAAGUGGAAAAGAAAGUUACAAAAGGGCUGCCUGUACUCAUGGCUUGGCACUGAAUUCCUCUAGAACAAGAGAGUCGAGAGUGAGACAGAAGCUACAAUGAAAUUAUAACACAUCCUGGGAAGUGAUCUACCAUCACUGCUGUUGUGUUCUAUUGUUCUAACACACCAACCCUCAUAUAUUAUGGGAGACGACUGCACAGGGGUGAGAAUACAAGGAGAUGAGGAUCCUUAGAAUUCAUCCUGGAGAUUGGUUUCUAUACCAUCAAAAGCUCAUUUUUAUUUCUUUUUGUUAUGAAAUAAUAUAUUGUGCUAAUCCAUUCAUCAAAAAUAUUUAUAAAAUACAAAGAGCAUGUUUGUUAUGAUUAGAAAGAAACCAAGGAAAUCAAGACUUGAGGGGCCAGAAUAUCUGAAAGAAUGGGAAUGCUUGAGAUGAAACCUACCUUUAAUUGCUUUCUUCCUCAGAGUAGUUGCUGAUCUGUGGUACUGAAUUAGAGGACAAGAGAAAAGCAGUGACAGUUUUCCUGAGCUGAGGGAAAGAAAAUUGAAGUUUAGGGUUAUAUGCUAGACCAAGGGCCAAUGUAUGUUCUUUAUUAUAAUCCCAAACAUUGGAGCAGAGAGUAAGAAUGUGGAUGAUGUCUUCAGUUACAUAUACCUUGUUAUCAGGACUACAUCACUUUUUUUCUUCCGGCAUGUGAUGAAUAUUGUUUGCAUAAAUUUUUGCAGUAGACUGGAAAUGAUUCUGAGGUUAGAAGGUGGAAGCUUAUUAGUUGUAAAGGAAGGCAAAGUCCACAUACUAACAAUGAUCCUCUUUCAUUGUGGUGUUGGCCUUAUUUUAUGUAUUAUACUUCAUUGGAGGCCUCAAAUACGUGAAAUUGAUACAUGGAAGACUAAGGUAGCUCUGGUCCAUACACCUUUUUUUUGUCUAAAAUAAGUACAAUUUUGGGCUAUUUCAUCAGGGCAACAAAAGUACAUGGGUUUUCAGUAAAUUUGAAGGUAUAUUUGAUAUGUUAUUAUUUAUAUUUUACAUAGAAUAAUUGAUGUAAAAUUCACUUUAGAGGAUCCUGAUGAUACUCCGAAGAGACAGCUGGUUAUAUUUAUAAAGCUAUAUACACAGUUAUAAAAAUUUACAUAAAAUAUUUUAAUACAUGUAUAGCUGGUAUAUAUAUUAUUGUUUUUUA